rnacentral:tRNA from 1 species
GUCUCGAUAGCUCAGGGGAUAGAGCACCGCUCUCCUAAAGCGGGUGUCGGAGGUUCGAAUCCUCUUCGGGACACCA